rnacentral:misc_RNA from 1 species
CUGUUAUUAGCGUAAAAAUAUCCAUAUUAUCUCUUGUAUAUUUACAUUGUCACCUACGCAAAAAUGAUCAACGAAGUGUGAAAACGGGACCAAAAUUGGAAGAGACAGCAGAAAUGUCAAGUGUGGUUUGAUCAACAAGUGGUCCCAAACUAAAGAAACAGGAGGAAACAAUGCCACCAAUACUCACAAUAAUAUCCACGAUAUGCAUGCCUGUAACAAUUUGAUGGCAGAUCUACUCAUUGGCGACAUGAUUUAUCCAAUAGGGUUGUGUAAAGAUUACAAAAAGAUGACGUGCAAACUAAUGACUGCUUUAUUUACUGAACAAGAAAUGAUCAAUAGUCAUGUGACGGGCAAAAGACUUGGGUUAAAAAGUGGAGAGACAAGGGCUGUUUUGAACCAGGAUAAAGUUAACUUAAUUGUCGAUUUAGUGAAAUCACAUUUUUCAUUUGCCACUGAACCUCAAAUCAGGAGAAAAAUGAGCCAAAAAUGCAAGGAUUUGAGAAUAGCAAAAAGCAAGCGAAUUAAAAGAAACAACACAACAGUGUUUCUCUAAAUUUAAGUUCUCUGUAAUUGUAUUUCACAAACAAUUAUUUUUAUGUUUGUACUUUUUUUUUCUCCAAGUAUGUAAGCUAUUUGAUAUUAUUAUUAUAUUAGACUUUAAAAUAUAUCGCUAAUAAAUAUGUAUUUAUUGGUAUAAGAAACUUAAAAAUCUUCUAAAAAAUCAAGAAGAUGCAAAUUGAGCAAAACAUUUGCUUUCUAACAAGAACAGAAACAAUACGUAUACAUCAAAAACAUAUUGAGUAUAUAUUUACUGUGUUACUUCAUUACUAGUCAAUAUAAGUGUUAUUUUAUUUUCUCUUAAUAAUUGGAAUGUAUUAGUUUAAUAAGAUAAAAGCUUAAAUAAUAUCAUUAAUUUGUUGUAUGAAACAAUUGUUCUGGAUAAAUAACUCCAAAAUUAUGAAACUUUAGAAGUUAGCCUUUUGUGAAGUCUUUUUUUUUUCAUUUUUAUAUCUGUAAUUUAUUCUUUUGAGGGGGGGUGGUGGAAUAAAACGUUUAAGAAAUCAAAU